rnacentral:rRNA from 1 species
UACGUAAGGCGCAAGCGUUGUCCGGAAUUAUUGGGCGUAAAGAGCUCGUAGGCGGUUUGUCGCGUCUGCUGUGAAAACCUAAGGCUCAACCUUGGGCUUGCAGUGGGUACGGGCAGACUAGAGUGCGGUAGGGGUGACUGGAAUUCCUGGUGUAGCGGUGGAAUGCGCAGAUAUCAGGAGGAACACCGAUGGCGAAGGCAGGUCACUGGGCCGCAACUGACGC